GAUGAACGCUGGCGGCGUGCCUAAUACAUGCAAGUCGAGCGAACGGACGAGAAGCUUGCUUCUCUGAUGUUAGCGGCGAACGGGUGAGUAACACGUGGAUAACCUACCUAUAAGACUGGGAUAACUACUGGAAACCGGAGCUAAUACCGGAUAAUAUUUUGAACCGCAUGGUUUAAAAGUGAAAGACGCUCUUGCUGUAACUUAUAAAUGGAUUGGCGUUGAUUUAGUUAUUGGGUAAGGUAUCGGCCUACUAAGGCAACGUUCAAUGGCCGACCUAAGAGGUGAAUCGGCCACACUGGAACUGGAACACGGUCCGAACUCCAACGGAGGGCGGCAGUAGGGAAUCUUCCGCAAUGGGGGAAAGCCGGACGGGGCAACGCCGCUUGAUGAAGGAAGGUCUUCGGUUCUAAAAACUCUGUGAUAGGGGAGGAACAGAUGGGGAAGUAACUGUGCACAUCGUGACGGUACCUAAUCAGAAAGCCACGGCUAACUACGUG
rnacentral:rRNA from 1 species